rnacentral:lncRNA from 1 species
AUACUCAUAAUUUCUCUGACUUAAAACUCUAAACUUGGCUCAGCUACUAUAUCGGAUAAAUUGCCUGGUAUAAAUGUAGUCACUUUCGUAUAUCAGACUGAGAUUUUGAAAUCAUUGGUGUGAGAAAAAAAAAUUACACAUUGAACUAAUGUAUUGAGCUUAUUGAGUUUUCGUCUAAAAAUAGUAAAGAUCUAAAUGCCUGAACUCUAUAUAUAGAAAUUUGUUGACAGUUGUGAAUUCUACUGAUCAGUCCUUUAAUUUGCACUAUUCACAAUUUAUCUAUCUAUGUGGUAAAUUCAAAUCAUGAUAUCUGG